CGAGAAUAUUUAGACCAAUAAGAAACUUUAGUUUUUUCACACCACCAAUCUUUGUUGUUUUCGACCCAAUUCUCUCUCCUUUCCUAUACGUCCGGCUAUAAUGUAAUUCCCUCUCUACUACCCCCAUUUUACAACAAACCCUAAUCUGCUAAUCAACAAACUCCAUUUGUUCCAACACUCUUUAAUCACCCAUGGUUACCAGUAAUGGUGAAAGAAAACGUACUUCAGAUGUCCAUCAUAUACCAGCUGUGUCUAUAGUCCUAGCACGUUAUGAUUGAUACUUAUGUAUAAGCAUACCCACCAGAAGAAAAAAUCCACAUGAACAGCAGCAGAUAUCUGUCGAUCAAGGUUUGGGAUUUAAUUGCUAAUUGUUGGAUUUUCUUUGUGUAUGUUAAAUCUCUGCAACUAAAGGAGAAGGAAUGUUGCUUAAUAAUUGAACUUUUGAUUAUGAGAGGUACCUGCUUUUGCUUUAAGAUAUUUUGAUUAUUAAGCAAAUUAAGUUGAUUGUUUCGACUAUAUCAGGACCUAAAGAGAGGAGGGAAAGAAGACAUGUUGUUGGCAAAACUAUCUGAGGGAAAAGGAAGCCAAGAUGUAACAUCUAAUAAGUGGAAAAGGACGGUUGCUUGCAAAUUACUUGCAGGUGCAAGUUCAAUUUUGCUUUAGUCGUGGAGUCCAGUGGUAUCAAAUAUAGCUGGUGGGGUCUUCUCGGGCUGUCGGGACGUCGUACACACAAUGUGUUUGUACAAACAAGUUACGGAUCUUUCCAUCAGGAAAAAAAACUAACGGUGACUUGGGAGAAGAUGGAGAAAGUAAUGACGAAAUGCUACCAAUUGCCGGGCAUAUAAUGAAGCUGAAGACCAAGGUGAGGAGACUGCUGAUAAAAUAUCAUUGGUCAGCGUAGUGGAGAAGAAAAAUGUGAGGCCACUUAUUAUGAAAUUCCACUUUUAGUCAGUCGAGAUAGUAAUUAAAGACGAAGAAGAAAGUACGGAUAAUGAAGAUGAAAUGGAAGGUGACGAGAGUAAUAACCCUGUACGGGGAUAACGAAAUGGAACUGUUGAUUUCUUUUUUGAGUUCAACUAUUCCGUAAGUUUUCAGAUGAUAGUUAUUCCGUACGUUGUUUUUUAAUAUGUCAGUUUUUAUAAAUAAAUGUUUCAAAAAAAUAGAUCAAUUUCUUAAUUGGAAAAAUCAAA